rnacentral:rRNA from 1 species
AUUGAACGCUGGCGGCAUGCCUAAUACAUGCAAGUCGAGCGGAUAAAGGGAAGUUGUUCCAGUAUCUAGCGGCAGCCGGGUGCGGAAUGCCUACAAAUCUGCCUGCUAGCUGUGAAUAACGUCUGGCAUCGGGCACUCAUAGCGCAUACGUGCUGAGGUAUAAAGUUGCGGAACUUAGUACUUCACGCCAUCUCAGGAGUCUGGGUUAGAUUAGCUAGUUGUUGGGGUAAAGGCUUACCAAGGCAACGAUCCGUAACCGACCUGAGAGGAUGAUAAGCCACACUGGGACUGAGACACGGUCCAGACUCCUACGGGAGGCAGCAGUGGGGAAUAUUGGACAAUGGACGAAAGUCUGAUGCAGCAAUGCCGCGUGUGUGAAGAAGGUCUUCGGAUCGUAAAGCACUUUAAGAUGGGAAGAAGAGCAGUAAGUUAAACCGUUCCUGUUUUGACGUUACCUACAGAGAAAGCAACGGCUAACUUCGUG